rnacentral:lncRNA from 1 species
UCUCAUACCCUCUCUCUCACUAAACUCUUCUCUCUAAUAUCACCAGCAACCAUCCUCCAUCCUAACUCCACCCUUUUCUCCCUUCAAAGCCGCCACCCUCCAUUAAAACCUGAAACUUGACCUCCAAAUAAAAAUCCAAACACUAACCCUAACCGAUCGCCCACCCAAUUACUUGUUGGGAGUCACCUUGAUCAGAUCUGGUUGAAGGGGAGCGGUGGUGGCGAGAAGGAGGGUGAACAACGGGGAUACUCCAACUUGUUCCAGCGAGAUCUGGAGGUGUUCGGACAUAACGACGGGUUGACGGCGGUUGUUCUGGUGGAGACGGAGUGGAUUUGGACACAACGACGGUGGCAAAUCUAGAAGGAGAUCCAUCUUUAGAUCUUAACUAGGGUUGUCAAAAAGCUCGCAGCUCGGAGCUCGCUCGGAUUUAGCUCGGAAAAAGCUCGCUUGGCAUGGCUCGGUUUGAAAGUGAGCCGAGCCAGCUCGGCUCGGCUCGUAACGAGCCGACUUGGCUUGGUUUGGCUCGCUUGGUAACUCAGCUCCGCUUAGUUCGGAUUAUUUUCUUCAUAAUAUAUUUAUUUUUAUAUACAUUAUAAUAUAUUACAAAAAAACCUGUUAUUAUUUAUAUAUAUUUAGGCUUGUAAUUUGAUAUCCAUGGCAUAUUUGAAUCUUAAUUACCUUUGAGUUGUCAAGACGAAAAUGAACUGUUUGAACCCUUUGACGCUCAAGUUAGCAUAUGAUCGUUGUAGAUCUACAAGCAUGUGCCUAUAUGUAGGGUAUAUGAGGGAAUUCGAGGAAUGCUAGAGAUUAGAGAAAGAGAGAGAGAGAGAGGAGAUGGAAAUGAGCUGGUUUGUAAUGCUCAGGUUGGGUCACCCGAGAUGAUGUAAGGCUUGCAUUGGGGAUAUUAGGAGCACUUUGUGAGCAGUUGUCCGACAGAUUCAUCUUAGAGAAGAUGUCGUCUCCCUUGGGUGUUCUUUUUGUUUGAGUCUCGGCCUGAGGCUCUAGUUCAGAUUGCAUCAUUAGCCAUUAAAACUGGAAAUGGGCUCCUACUGAAUGGAGGAAAGGAAGGAAACAGCUCUAACGCAAUCUUGCACAAGAUUAUUACUUCAUGCAUAAAGAGUUGGUAAAGGGUUAAUUGUCCUUGUUACUUCCAGAGACGAGAUUCCCGAAUUGCUCAAGAUGUGGCACGACACAAGAGAAGCUACGGAUAAUGAUAUAGAUUUUUUGUUGAUGAUGUUGCCAAAAUUUUUCUAGUGAGUUAGGUAUUUCGUUAGUUUAGCUUAUAUAAGAUUAUAUGUAGUUUAUUUAUGGAAUUUAAUGUAGUUUGUUAUGCAUUCAACAAAGGAUUGUAAUUUGACGGGUUUGUUUUCGAAUUGAAUGUGUAUUGGGUUGAUUAGAAAAUGUUCGAUUGGUGUAU